CUGGUUUGUUUCUUUUCGGUUUUGGAGCUUUAAGCUUUUCGUUCCUGGCUUAUAGAGGCAUGGAUAUGAGAGUCAUAGAAGUGCAUGAAAGUGCAAGACUGCAGCAACGUGAGAAUCACUGCUCCCAAUAAGCAAUUGCAGACAGUUAAAGAAUCUAGCUAUAUACACAGUUACAGCAGUCUCCAUUGACAGAGAUACCUUGAACGGCAACAGCAGGAGUAAACAGGGAACGAAGAGAGUUGUCAAGUAGCUGAAGUAUCUGCCGGUAGGGGUCCAUUAUUAAUCCACCUUUCACUUGCAUGUAUUUGCAGGUCACUUUCAUUUUUUUUUUUGUAAUUAAUUUCAAUGCAUAAUCUUUUUUUGAACCAUCUUUUCUCUGAUCUGACCCCCCCCUCACACACAAAGAUAACGGUAGCAGACAAAUUUAACUGUUUCUGCUACCUCUCCACCACUCCCUCAAUCAGCUGCUAGUGCCCCUAUUUAUGAUCCUACCUAGCUAUGAACCCUCACCUGCCUCCGGUUCUUGAGAUUUGAGAAAAGCUCAAAAAAUAAAAAAUGGGGUUUGAUUGUCGGCCUGAAAUCUGGAUGUUGGGGAUGUGACCCCCCACCAACUCCAAUUCAAACAACACAACCCUGACUUAUAAAUUCCAACCCUAGUCAAAAAAAUUUCGAGGGUUUUCAGCAGUAGCAUAUAUAGGGAAUUACAAAGGUAUUGGUGCAUAGCAGAUGGGAUGUAGUCGGUAAGAGGGGAAGAAUGGUGUCUGUAUGGUAAUUAUGUCUUUGGAAGGAUUUGGGUGAAAUUGGUAAACAAACAGUGAGCUAGGUAAGGGGAGGGUGAGGACCACCGGGGCUAGCUAGCUAGCUAGCUAGCUAAUUAUGCUGAAGACUAACAUCUUCCCUCUGCUUUAUACAAUGUGAGUGAGGGUACGUGGUUCCCGACAUGAUAUAUAUAUACGUGAAGCUGGGCUGAUUUUGCAACUUCAUACUGCGGUGCUGGCCGGUGGGCAGCCUUGCUCCUUACUGUUACUGUACUAGUAUUAUGUAAUCAAGUAUAUAUGAAUGGUUGUAGUUUUUCAUGCCUCAAAUCAUACAAUAUACUAUCCUUUCCUUUCCUUUUUU